GCCGGGCACAGUGACAUGUGCCCAUGGGAGGCUGAGGCAGGAGGAUACCCAUCAGAUGUCAGCACUAAGUUCAGCAUCAAUAUGGUAAACUUCCAGGAGCGGCGGGACAACCAGGUUGCCUAAGGAGGGGUGAACUGGCCCAGGAAGAAAUGGAGCAGGUCAAAACUUCUGUGCUGAUCAGUAGUGGGACUGUGACUAGGAAUAGCCAGUGCACUUCAGCCU
ensembl:misc_RNA Metazoa_SRP Metazoan signal recognition particle RNA